CGAGAGUCGGGAGGCUCUAAACAAUGUGUCUUUACUAGUCGCGCUGCACUCGUGCGGUGCGACGUCGGAGCCCAUUUGAAUCCGGGUGAUCGGUGCUAUCGGUUUUAACACGUAUGCAUCACGGCGCCCAGGGUUCGAAUUAAGCUCAGUUCGAUGUCGGAGCUCGGAAUAGUCUGUAGACGACUUACGUUCCUGGCGGGGUGUUGUGCUCGGUAGAGCAGCGUCGUGCUGCGAUCUGUUGAGACUCAGCCCUACGCCAGGUGAUUCGU
rnacentral:ncRNA from 1 species